AUGUGAGGCCGAAUGGUCGCUUGCCACGCUUUGUGGCAAGAGGAAAGUCCGGGCUCCAUAGGAUGCCGUGGUGGGUAACGCCCACCGUCCGCCUCUGGCGGACAGGACUAGUGCUACGACUGUGUUUUCGAACACAGCGGGUAAACUCCACGGGGAGCAAGGCCAAAUAAGUUCUGCAUUUAGGCCGAUCCGGUCUAAUGUUCCAUAAGGAGCCAGGCACCUCGUGAAAGCAGUCACGAGGUGCCUGGCUCCUUAUGGAAAUGGCAGGACGGGUAGGCUGCUAGAGCCCAUCGGCAACGAUGGGCCCAGAGAAAUGACCGUUUAGAAACAGAACCCGGCUUAUGAGCCUCACAUUUUU
rnacentral:RNase_P_RNA from 1 species